rnacentral:snRNA from 1 species
AGCUUUGCGCAGUGGCCGUAUGGUAGCCAAUGAGGUUUACCAGACGCGCGAUUAUUGCUAAUGAAGACUCUUGGUUGAGAUAAGCAGUGAGAAGUAUACUACUGAACAAUUUCAGACAAAGGGGAAGCUCU